CGAAUGCUGACAUAAGUAACGAUAAAGCGGGUGAAAAGCCCGCUCGCCGGAAGACCAAGGGUUCCUGUCCAACGUUAAUCGGGGCAGGGUGAGUCGACCCCUAAGGCGAGGCCGAAAGGCGUAGUCGAUGGGAAACAGGUUAAUAUUCCUGUACUUGGUGUUACUGCGAAGGGGGGACGGAGAAGGCUAUGUUGGCCGGGCGACGGUUGUCCCGGUUUAAGCGUGUAGGCUGGUUUUCCAGGCAAAUCCGGAAAAUCAAGGCUGAGGCGUGAUGACGAGGCACUACGGUGCUGAAGCAACAAAUGCCCUGCUUCCAGGAAAAGCCUCUAAGCAUCAGGUAACAUCAAAUCGUACCCCAAACCGACACAGGUGGUCAGGUAGAGAAUACCAAGGCGCUUGAGAGAACUCGGGUGAAGGAACUAGGCAAAAUGGUGCCGUAACUUCGGGAGAAGGCACGCUGAUAUGUAGGUGAAGUCCCUCGCGGAUGGAGCUGAAAUCAGUCGAAGAUACCAGCUGGCUGCAACUGUUUAUUAAAAACACAGCACUGUGCAAACACGAAAGUGGACGUAUACGGUGUGACGCCUGCCCGGUGCCGGAAGGUUAAUUGAUGGGGUCAGCGCAAGCGAAGCUCUUGAUCGAA
rnacentral:rRNA from 1 species